rnacentral:lncRNA from 1 species
UGAGUUCUUUGAGCCUUUAGGUGACUGAAUAUCCGCCGGCGGGUUGUUUCCGCCGCCUGCCGGUGACGGAACACCACCUCCCGGCGGCGAAGUUCCCGGCACUCCCGGGGUGCUCGGUAUCGUCGGUGAUGGUGUUGCCGGAGAAGUGGUCGGAGAUGAUGGUGUCGCCGGAGAAGGAGCAAGGCCGGGUGGUGAAGCAGGCGUCUGACUCACUGGAGGUGUAGCCGGUGACACUGAGGGAGAUACAGAUGGAGACGUUGCUGGAGAUGGAGCAUUGCCGGGCGAUUGACUCACAGGAGGUGUAGCCGGCGACACUGAGGGAGAUACAGAUGGAGACGUUGCUGGAGAUGGAGCAUUGCCGGGCGAUUGACUCACAGGAGGUGUAGCCGGUGACACGGAGGGCGUGGGAGAUACCACCGGAGAUGUGGCCGGAGAUUUUCCUGGAGUUGAAGGUGGAGAAGGAGGAAAAGGACGAGGAGAAGGAGGAGGAGGUGGUCGAAUAGCUAACACAACAGUUAUUAAUUUCUGCGAUCCAUUUUCGCAAUCAUUUUUAUUUCCACUAAUGAAAUAAAAAGGACCAGAAUGAUCAAAUUUGAAAAUUGAAUUUCCAUCAUCCAUUUUC